AUUGAACGCUGGCGGCAUGCUUUACACAUGCAAGUCGAACGGUAACAGGUUAAGCUGACGAGUGGCGAACGGGUGAGUAAUGCAUCGGAACGUGCCCGAUCGUGGGGGAUAACGCAGCGAAAGCUGCGCUAAUACCGCAUACGAUCUGAGGAUGAAAGCGGGGGACCGUAAGGCCUCGCGCGAUCGGAGCGGCCGAUGUCAGAUUAGGUAGUUGGUGGGGUAAAGGCUCACCAAGCCGACGAUCCGUAGCUGGUCUGAGAGGACGACCAGCCACACUGGGACUGAGACACGGCCCAGACUCCUACGGGAGGCAGCAGUGGGGAAUUUUGGACAAUGGGCGCAAGCCUGAUCCAGCCAUGCCGCGUGCGGGAAGAAGGCCUUCGGGUUGUAAACCGUUUUUGUCAGGGAAGAAAAGGCUCCUGUUAAUACCGGGGGCUCAUGACGGUACCUGAAGAAUAAGCACCGGCUAACUACGUGCCAGCCGCCGCAGUAAGAC
rnacentral:rRNA from 1 species